AUUUGGGCCACUGCCAGGUGGGGAGGAAGUAAGCAGGCAGGCGGGGAUUGGCUGGCUUAGGCUGGCCUCUGCAGCCUUGUCCCCUGGGUCAGGGGCCAGAGGCAAAGACUUCCAAGAGGAGAAGAGAGGAGGUUGUGUGGCUAAGCUGUUCCUGACUGAAGGAUGUCACAGAUGAACCUGUCCUGGCUGGGACUGGGGCAGCUGGCAGCCUCCCCAUGGCUGCUCCUGCUGCUGGCUGGGGCCACCUGGCUGCUGGCCCACAUCCUGGCCUGGAGCUACAGCUUGUAUGACAUCUGCAGCCGUCUCCGGUGUUUCCCGCAGCCCCCGAAGCGGAACUGGCUUUGGGGUCACGUGGGCCUGAUUCAGAGCUCAGAGGAAGGUCUCCUGUACACACAGGACCUGGCAAGCACCUAUGGGGAUGUGUGCUGCUGGUGGGUGGGUCCCUGGCAUGCAGUCAUCCGCAUCUUCCACCCCACCUGCAUCAAGCCUGUGCUCUUUGCUCCAGCUGCCAUUGCACCCAAGGACAAGGUCUUUUACAGCUUUCUGAAGCCCUGGCUGGGGGAUGGGCUUCUGUUGAGUGCUGGUGACAAAUGGAGCAGCCACCGCCACAUGCUGACACCUGCCUUCCACUUCAACAUCCUGAAGCCCUAUGUGAAGAUUUUCAAUGGCAGCGUGAAUGUCAUGCAUGCCAAAUGGAAGCGCCUGGUGUCAGAGGGCAGGACCCAUCUGGACAUGUUUGAACACAUCAGCCUCAUGACCCUGGACAGUCUGCAGAAAUGUGUCUUCAGUUUUGACAGCAAUUGCCAGGAGAAGUCUAGUGAAUAUAUUGCUGCCAUCUUGGAUCUCAGUGCCCUUGUGGCAAAACGCCAUCAGCAGAUCCUCGUGCACACGGACUUCCUGUACUACCUCACCCCAGAUGGACAGCGCUUCCGCAGAGCCUGCCGCCUGGUGCAUAACUUCACAGAUGCUGUCAUCCAGGAGCGGCGCCGCACUCUCCCCAGUCAGGGUGUUGAUGACUUCCUCCAGGCCAAGGCUAAGAACAAGACUUUGGACUUCAUUGAUGUCCUCCUGCUGACCAAGGAUAAAGAUGGAAAACAAUUGUCAGACGAGGACAUCCGAGCUGAAGCUGACACCUUUAUGUUUGAGGGCCAUGACACCACAGCCAGUGGCCUCUCCUGGGUCCUGUACAACCUUGCAAAGCACCCAGAAUACCAGGAGCGCUGCCGGCAGGAGGUGCAGGAGCUCCUGAGGGACCGUGAGCCUCAAGAGAUUGAAUGGGACGACCUGGCCCAGUUGCCCUUCCUGACCAUGUGCAUCAAGGAGAGUCUGCGGUUGCAUCCCCCAGUCACAGUCAUCUCUCGCUGCUGUACCCAGGACACUGUGCUCCCGGAUGGCCGGGUCAUCCCCAAAGGUGUUAUCUGCCUCAUCAGUAUUUUUGGGACCCACCACAACCCAUCCGUGUGGCCAGACCCUGAGGUAUACAACCCCUUUCGCUUUGACCCAGAAAACAUGAAGGAGAGGUCACCCUUGGCUUUUAUUCCCUUCUCUGCAGGGCCCAGGCCAAAUGGAAGCACCUGGUGUCAGAGGGCAGGACCCAUCUGGACAUGUUUGAACACAUCAGUCUCAUGACCCUGGACAGUCUGCAGAAAUGUGUCUUCAGUUUUGACAGCAAUUGCCAGGAGAAGCCUAGUGAAUAUAUUGCUGCCAUCUUGGAUCUCAGUGCCCUUGUGGCAAAACGCCAUCAGCAGAUCCUCGUGCACACGGACUUCCUGUACUACCUCACCCCAGAUGGACAGCGCUUCCGCAGAGCCUGCCGCCUGGUGCAUAACUUCACAGAUGCUGUCAUCCAGGAGCGGCGCCGCACUCUCCCCGAUCAGGGUGUUGAUGACUUUCUCCAGGCCAAGGCUAAGAACAAGACUUUGGACUUCAUUGAUGUCCUCCUGCUGACCAAGGAUGAAGAUGGAGAACAAUUGUCAGAUGAGGACAUAUGAGCUGAAGCUGACACCCUUAUGUUUGAGGGCCAUGACACCACAGCCAGUGGCCUCUCCUAGACUCUGUAUAAUCUUGCAAAGCACCCAGAAUACCAGGAGCGCUGCCGGCAGGAGGUGCAAGAGCUCCUGAGGGACCGGGAGCCUCAAAAGAUUGAAUGGGACGACCUGGCCCAGUUGCCCUUCCUGACCAUGUGCAUCAAGGAGAGUCUGCGGUUGCAUCCACCAGCCACAGUCAUCUCUUGCUGCUGUACCCAGGACAUUGUGCUCCCGGAUGGCCGGGUCAUACCCAAAGGUAUACAACCCCUUUCGCUUUGACCCAGAAAACAUCAAGGAGAGGUCACCCUUGGCUUUUAUUCCCUUCUCUGCGGGGCCCAGAGCCCCCACUCCCGCCCGCAGGAACUGCAUUGGGCAGAAGUUCGCCAUGAUGGAGAUGAAGGUGGUCCUGGUGCUCACGCUGCUGCGCUUCCGGGUGCUGCCAGACGAGGAGGAGCCGCGCAGGAAGCCUGAGCUCAUCCUGCGCGCGGAGGGCGGGCUUUGGCUGCGCGUGGAGCCGCUGAGCGCAGACCCCCGGUGACCAGCCAGCUCCUGGCUUGGGAUUUACCCAGACCCUACACGCCUAGCUUUGCAGAAUCCCAGGAAUGAAACUGUGCCAUCUCUUCUGCCGGAGCCUCACUGAGUGCCAGGAGGGGGCGCUUGGGACCUGUGGGAACGCAGGGGUGGGCGAGGUGGAAUGGAGAGGAGGUUGGUGUCUGAGCCCAAGACCCUGACAGCCUUUCCAGGUGACCACAGGCCUCCCUGCUUAUUGUGGCUUGUUGGAGAGUCAAACCUGUGGUUACUCCAGAUUUCCAAUGAACAGAUAGAAAAUAUAACAAAGAAAAGCAUGCUGAAA